AGUGAACGCUGGCGGUAGGCCUAACACAUGCAAGUCGAACGGCAGCACAGGAGAGCUUGCUCUCUGGGUGGCGAGUGGCGGACGGGUGAGGAAUACAUCGGAAUCUACCUUUUCGUGGGGGAUAACGUAGGGAAACUUACGCUAAUACCGCAUACGACCUACGGGUGAAAGUGGGGGACCGCAAGGCCUCACGCGAUUAGAUGAGCCGAUGUCCGAUUAGCUAGUUGGCGGGGUAAUGGCCCACCAAGGCGACGAUCGGUAGCUGGUCUGAGAGGAUGAUCAGCCACACUGGGACUGAGACACGGUCCAGACUCCUACGGGAGGCAGCAGUGGGGAAUAUUGGACAAUGGGCGCAAGCCUGAUCCAGCCAUACCGCGUGGGUGAAGAAGGCCUUCGGGUUGUAAAGCCCUUUUGUUGGGAAAGAAAUCCUGUCGAUUAAUACUCGGUGGGGAUGACGGUACCCAAAGAAUAAGCACCGGCUAACUUCGUG
rnacentral:rRNA from 1 species